ensembl:rRNA 5_8S_rRNA 5.8S ribosomal RNA
AACUCUUAGUGGUGGAUCACAAGGCUUGUGCGUGAUGAAGAACGCAACUAGCUGCGAGAAUUAAUGUGAAUUGCAGGACACAUUGAUCAUCGACACUUCAAACACACUUGCGGCCCCGAGUUCCUUCCAGGGCUACGCUUGUCUGAGUGUCG